rnacentral:tRNA from 1 species
CGGAUCUUUAUAAAUCCUCUAGA